UACUUGGUAGCUCAGUGGCUAAGAUUUUGGACUACUGAUCGAAAGGUUGUGAGUUCAAAUCCCAACACUGCUAU